GUGUGUGAAGAAGGCCUUCGGGUUGUAAAGCACUUUCAGUUGUGAGGAAAAGUGAGUAGUUAAUACCUGCUCACCGUGACGUUAACAACAGAAGAAGCACCGGCUAACUCCGUGCCAGCAGCCGCGGUAAUACGGAGGGUGCGAGCGUUAAUCGGAAUUACUGGGCGUAAAGCGCACGCAGGCGGUUUGUUAAGCUAGAUGUGAAAGCCCCGAGCUCAACUUGGGAUGGUCAUUUAGAACUGGCAGACUAGAGUCUUGGAGAGGGGAGUGGAAUUCCAGGUGUAGCGGUGAAAUGCGUAGAUAUCUGGAGGAACAUCAGUGGCGAAGGCGACUCCCUGGCCAAAGACUGACGCUCAUGUGCGAAAGUGUGGGUAGCGAACAGGAUUAGAUACCCUGGUAGUCCACACCGUAAACGCUGUCUACUAGCUGUUUGUGACUUUAAGCCGUGAGUAGCGAAGCUAACGCGAUAAGUAGACCGCCUGGGGAGUACGGCCGCAAGGUUAAAACUCAAAUGAAUUGACGGGGGCCCGCACAAGCGGUGGAGCAUGUGGUUUAAUUCGAUGCAACGCGAAGAACCUUACCUACACUUGACAUGCAGAGAACUUUCUAGAGAUAGAUUGGUGCCUUCGGGAACUCUGACACAGGUGCUGCAUGGCUGUCGUCAGCUCGUGUCGUGAGAU
rnacentral:rRNA from 1 species